rnacentral:rRNA from 1 species
GACGAACGCUGGCGGCGUGCUUAACACAUGCAAGUCGAACGGAAAGGCCCUGCUUUUGUGGGGUGCUCGAGUGGCGAACGGGUGAGUAACACGUGAGUAACCUGCCCUUGACUUUGGGAUAACUUCAGGAAACUGGGGCUAAUACCGGCUAGGAGCUCCUGCUGCAUGGUGGGGGUUGGAAAGUUUCGGCGGUUGGGGAUGGACUCGCGGCUUAUCAGCUUGUUGGUGGGGUAGUGGCUUACCAAGGCUUUGACGGGUAGCCGGCCUGAGAGGGUGACCGGCCACAUUGGGACUGAGAUACGGCCCAGACUCCUACGGGAGGCAGCAGUGGAGAAUAUUGCACAAUGGGCGGAAGCCUGAUGCAGCAACGCCGCGUGCGGGAUGACGGCCUUCGGGUUGUAAACCGCUUUCGCCUGUGACGAAGCGUGAGUGACGGUAAUGGGUAAAGAAGCACCGGCUAACUACGUG